rnacentral:lncRNA from 1 species
AAGAAGAUGAUAAAAUAUAAUCACGAAAAGUCAGAUGAAAACACAAGCCUCCAGGAAAGUUGCAGCCAACCAAUUUCACAAUCUUGUUCCAGGAGUGCCUGACCCAGGUUUCAAAAGAGAAGGGAAAAGAAACACUUGGGAAAAAUGGAAGUUUCAUCUCUGGCCUGCAUUACAGCUUCUGGCAUAUUUUUAGAUGCCAAUAAGUAAUGUCAAAGAAACAGCUGUUAAAAUGAUCCUGCUUAACAGCCAUAAAGGAAUGAAGAUUUCCACAGAGAGCUUUAUCAGUCUCCGUGGAGCUGCCAUUUCCUGCUGACUGCGAGACAAGAUGGAGUGCCAGAUUGUCAUUUAGUUUAACUCCAUGGAAAUGAGGCAAGGGAAUCUGACCAUGAUUAAACCUUUGCAUCCAGCAAAAGAACACAGGGCAAUCAAGGAAACCUUCUGCUGGCCCUCGGGGGACAGACUGUUGAUACGGAAAGCCAGGUCCGGAGAGAUUGAGUUUUGCCCAAAGCCUCAAUGCAAAAUUGGGUCAGUGUCAUGGGAAGAACCCAAAUCUCCAGAUGCUGCCUUCAGCACUCUGUUCCCUGAACUACCCUGUUUCUCAAGACUGGCUCCUGAACCACUUUCCAUGGAGUUAGAAAGUGAAUGGAGGUAUCAGUCAUUGUCCAUACAGCAUGAAUUUGGAGGGUUUUCUAAUUUAAAGGAAGCCUAGGGCUUCACAUAGCUUGUAGACAGAAGAUGAGAUUAAAGUAAAAGAACUGAUAAGUAAUAUUUUCUAUUUCGUCAAGUAAUGUUACCAGCUGUGUAAUGAGAGCUAUGUCUACAAAAUCCAGAACGAAUUGGAGACUUCAAAUUGUUACUGCAGAUAGCUAAAUCAAACUAAUUAUCCGGGCCUCAAAUAGAACUUUGUGGUCUGAAUGAGAUGGAGAAUAAUUUGUACUGUAAGUAAAUUCCGUUUCUUCAUUGUGAAAAACACACAUUCACCUGUCCAAACCCAAAGAAUGGACUCAGAGACACGAAGAACAGUGAAAGCAAGUCUUUUAAUGGUGGUCUUGCAAGAUAGGGUGUUUGGUAGGUAGGUUCAUCCGGGGCAGUUACAGAAGGUAAUUUAUCUCCUAGCAUGCAAGUCCCUCCCUUAGGUCCUCAUUGGUUGAGUACUGUGGGGUUACAAUCUUCCCGGAUGUCGCCUAAGUUUCAUGAUCCCCCUUAUAAGGUUAUACCCCACCCCCCUCCCUGCUUAAGUUUCGAUUUCCCGAUAAUGAAACUUUCUUCCCUUUUAUGGGCUGACCCCUCCUCUACAUUCUGUUCACUUAUCGUGACCUUCUAGGUGCAUGAGAUGUGCGGUUUGUUACAUCCACAGGCUGGCCGCCAGUACUUAGAUUUAUCAUGCCUUGAAAAUGGACCAUUUAAAAUGUUUUUUCACAUUCGUGAUAAUUGUUAAUAUGUAAAAAUGUUGGGUGAGAAGGCCCAAGUUAGAAAAAAAUAACCCAGUGCAAUACAUGCUUUUGAAAAUGUAUCCUGGGACCAGAGCUUCCCAUACGUCAGUCAUUCACAUACAACUGCCACCAUUUUUACUAUAUCUGCAUGUUUCCAUUAAAUUCACUUUUUAAUAUAAGUAAAUGUAUGAAAAAAGAAAGCUUUGUAAAACUAUA